GCAAGGAAGAGGAAGAAUAGAGGGCCUGAGAGCAGUGGGAAUGGGAACAUGGAGGAAAGCCAAAUUUGUUCCUCCAGCAAUGGAGGGUGUUUGAUGUGGUUUGGUCUUUCCCGGUGCCUCCCAUUCCUAUUACUCUCAAGCACUCCUUCCUCAUCCUUUUGCUU
rnacentral:pre_miRNA from 2 species